AUAUAUUAAAUGCAAGAAACCUAAACCAUACCUUAGCCGAUUUCCACGUAACGACCAAAGCUAUUUAUUCAAAACCAAGACAGCCCCUCAAAACUCAACUAAUCCGCUUCCUCCAAGUUCCAGUAUUCACAAUUUCAAGCUCCAAUUAUUUAUUUUCAACCUUACCCAAGCUUCACAUAAGCAAGAGUGAACGUUUCUCUCAAGCUAAUUGGAUCCUAUGAAAUUGUUCCGGUAGAAAUGUAGAGCUCGACGCGGUGAACGCGUGGCCGCAAACGGUGCGGCGAUUGGAGCUCGGACGGAGAAGUUACGGGGAUCGGAAGUUAACGUAACAAUUUUGACGUUCUUCCUUUCUUCUCCCUGAUGCUCUUCGACGCUGCCAAAAAUGGGGAGAAGAAGAACAUGGGUUCACUUAAAGGGCUGGUCCGGUUGGGCCCGGUUUGGGCCCGGUUCAAC
rnacentral:lncRNA from 1 species